CUGAAAGUGCCAACUGUCCACUUGGGCACGUUUCCACAUUUCACGGGUGGGGCCGUGAGGGUCCUUUUAUCCCUCCAAAUGUGCUCUGCGUUCUUCUCUGUCUCCCUCUCCAUCCCUGGAGGCUGACCAUUGUGGACCACAUCAACUGAAGGCAGGCCCUUGGGCUUCGGGUUCGGUCCCAUCUAAAGUGGCCCCGCAGUGAACCCUGGCAGGAGCUGGAGGGAGGGAGAGAGAGAGGGGUGGGAGGUUAGGGUAUUUGUUUCCCCAAACCCAUCCCCAUGAGAUCACCUCAGGCUGGCCCUGUUCCCGUACUGAGGGUUGCAGCUCAUCUCGAGGUGACCUGAAUUGGGUAUCUCUGCAGUUUACACUCAGUGAACAUGCCGACCUUCCAUAAAUCAUUGCAUGUCACUGACUUCAUUUCUUCAAGGAAUUCCUCACAAGUCGGGGCCAUGCCCUUUGUAUGUUGGCCACUAGCUCCUCAAACAGCUGGUCCUUCGCCACUUCAAGGCCUUCAACCUCUUGGUCUGUCUGGGGAACACUCGACCUAUGGGUGGCUCCAGCUCUCCGUUCCUGUCUCUCCAUCCUCAGCCAGACCUUUCCAGGCUGCCCAUUUAAAUUAGCCCACCACCGUUCCCAGUCCAGCCACUGCAUCAUUGGGUCAUUUUCUUCAUAGCUCUUUAUCACGCUCUGUGGCAAUCUUGCUCAUAUACCUGUCUGCUUUUUGGCUGUCUCUCUUCCUCCUGGAGGGCAUGCCCCUCUUUACAAGGUUUCUUUGAUUGGCUUCUCUAAAUACAGUGCUCAAGAUAGUGGAGGAGUGUGCAGAGGUGCCCAAUAAAUGUUGAGUGAAUGAAAUGAGGACUUAGCUAUAGGAAUGACAAGCUCACAUUGAUGUUUGAGAAUCAAUCACUGUUUCUCCAGGGUGGAAAAUGGAAGAUUGGAGGCAUGGUUAGAAGGAAGAGAGGUCAGUUAGAAUGCUGGUGUGGGAUAGAAUGAAGAGAUGGAAAGAACAGGGGGGUAUUUGUGACAUACUGUGGUAGGCAGAGUUCUAACGAUGACCCUCACCCUCGUAUAAUCCCUUCCGCACUGAGCGUGGCUGGAACCUAUUACAUGACCAUAUAUCACUUCCUUACUUAUGUUACCUUAUUGGCAAAACAGAGAUUGUUGGGGUGGAGUAGGUUUAAUCUAAGCACAAGAGCCCUUUAAAAGCAGAGAGAUUUUUCCAGCUGGUCGCAGAAGGGGAAAUCAGAGAGAUUUGAUGUACAAGGAGGACUCAAGGUAACAGCUCAGCCUAGCAGAGACCUCAGUUUUUGCUUCAUGAGGCCUUCAGCAGAGAACCUAGCCAUGCCAUGCUGCACUUCUGACUCACACAUCUGCGAGUUAAACCAGGACUCGGGCUUUAUAUCCAUCAUGACACCGAGAUAUGAUGAGAGGAUAAGAAAAUGUGAGCGAAGUUUAUUGUGUCAGUAAUAGUUCUUAACAUAAUGAAAUAAAA
rnacentral:lncRNA from 1 species